rnacentral:rRNA from 1 species
AACGUAGGAGACGAGCGUUAUCCGGAUUUACUGGGCGUAAAGCGUGUGCAGGCGGUUCGGCAAGUUGGAUGUGAAAUCUCCCGGCUCAACUGGGAGGGGUCGUUGCAUACUGGCGGACUUGAGGGGGGUAGAGGAAAGUGGAAUUCCCGGUGUAGUGGUGAUAUGCGUAGAUAUCGGGAGGAACACCUGUGGCGAAGGCGGCUUUCUGGGCCCUACCUGACGCUGAGACGCGAAAGCGUGGGGAGCGAACAGG